rnacentral:misc_RNA from 1 species
AUGGACAAAAGCCUCCAGUUUGCGAUUCGAGCGUGUGAAAUGGAUAUUCCACAGAGUUGUGCAAAUGUGUCGAGAAUGUUUAAACUUGGUGAUGGAGUGCCUAAGGAUUUGGAUCAAGCGAAAAAGUAUGCAGAUCGAGCCAAGGAAAUUAUGGAAACUUUAAGAUCGAAUGAUACGAAUGCAGGAUUCACUGGUUAA